rnacentral:rRNA from 1 species
ACGAACGCUGGCGGCGUGCUUAACACAUGCAAGUCGAACGGAAAGGCCCUGCUUUUGUGGGGUGCUCGAGUGGCGAACGGGUGAGUAACACGUGAGUAACCUGCCCUUGACUUUGGGAUAACUUCAGGAAACUGGGGCUAAUACCGGAUAGGAGCUCCUGCUGCAUGGUGGGGGUUGGAAAGUUUCGGCGGUUGGGGAUGGACUCGCGGCUUAUCAGCUUGUUGGUGGGGUAGUGGCUUACCAAGGCUUUGACGGGUAGCCGGCCUGAGAGGGUGACCGGCCACAUUGGGACUGAGAUACGGCCCAGACUCCUACGGGAGGCAGCAGUGGGGAAUAUUGCACAAUGGGCGGAAGCCUGAUGCAGCAACGCCGCGUGCGGAAUGACGGCCUUCGGGUUGUAAACCGCUUUCGCCUGUGACGAAGCGUGAGUGACGGUAAUGGGUAAAGAAGCACCGGCUAACUACGUG